GAUGAACGCUGGCGGCGUGCCUAAUACAUGCAAGUAGAACGCUCGAGGGGGAACUUUCCUCCUCGGAUGUGUUCGGAACGGGUGAGUAUAGCGCAUGUAACCCGUCUCUUUACGGGGGGUAAAUCUUGGAAACGACAGCGAUAAUCCCAUAAUAUUUGUUGACCCGCGUCAUUUGAUUAAAAAGGACAAUUGUAUUGUCACAUAUAGAUGCUUCCGCGUUGUAUUUGCUAGUUGGUGAGGUAACGGCUCACCAAAGCAACGAUACAUAGCCGACCUGAGAGGGUGAUCGGCCACACUGGGACUGAGAAACGGCCCAGACUCCUACGGGAGGCAGCAGUAGGGAAUCUUCGGCAAUGGACGGAAGUCUGAACGAGCAACGCCGCGUGAGUGAAGAAGGGUUUCGGAUCGUAAAGAUCUGUUGUAAGAGAAGAACGAGUGUGGGAGUGGAAAGUUCACACUGUGACGGUAUCUUACCAGAAAGGGACGGCUAACUACGUG
rnacentral:rRNA from 1 species